UUGACCUCGGAUCAGGUAGGAGUACCCGCUGAACUUAAGCAUAUCAAUAAGCGGAGGAA
rnacentral:rRNA from 1 species